ACCAUGCAAAGGUAUUGAAAUAAGAUUUUAAAUGAGUGCUAAAAGAAUGGAUGAAUGGGGGUAAGCUUUUUUUUAAAAAAAAAUUGAAUUUAAAUUAAAAGUAAAAAUGCUUUUAUAAAAUUAUUAGACAAGAAGACCCUAAAAUCUUAAAUUAUUUAAAGUAAUUUUAAUUGGGGCAAUUGAAAAAUAAAAAGUAAUUUUAUUAAGAAAGUUUUUAAAAAAUUGAGAAGAUACUUUAGGGAUAACAGCGUAAUUAUUAUGGAGAGUUCAUAUUGAUAUAAUAGUUUGCGACCUCG
rnacentral:rRNA from 1 species